GACAGAGGGUGCAAACGUUGUUCGGAAUUACUGGGCGUAAAGCGAGUGUAGGCGGUUUGGUAAGUCGGAUGUGAAAGCCCCGGGCUCAACCCGGGAAGUGCACUCGAUACUGCCAAGCUAGAGUAUCGGAGAGGUUGGUGGAAUUCUCGGUGUAGAGGUGAAAUUCGUAGAUAUCGGAAGGAACAUCAGUGGCGAAAGCGACUUCCUGGACCAAUACUGACGCUCAUGUGCGAAAGCGUGGGGAGCAAACAGG
rnacentral:rRNA from 1 species